rnacentral:lncRNA from 1 species
GUGGUGACACUUUACCUUGUGUGCAACGUCCUGCCAUUUCGACACACACGAUAAUUAUUAAAAUACAUGGGCCUAGUAGAAUGACCUAUAUUAUAUUUACGCUCACAUCCACUCACACAAGACAGAAGAUUUCGAAGUGAAGUGUCACGUCACAAUCACAAGAGUACAAGGAGCAGUUGACCCUAACUAUUGUCGGAAUGGGGGUAUCAAGAAGUGUCGGUUUGGAGGGCUGUCUAAAUGGAAGUCUGUCAGAAUAAGGGGUAGACGCUGGAUGUUGAGUUGGGUGGUGAAAGUGGUGCCCCAUCCUCCGGACCUGCCCAAAAACAGCGACACCAAGGAGGAGGCGCCAGCCGCUCCACCCGCCGCCCCGAAUGUAAGACAUGUCCACAUUUGA